rnacentral:tRNA from 1 species
AGCUUUAUAGUUUAUAAAAAUAUUAAUUUUGUAAAUUAAAGAUAUAAGUUUUAUUUUAGCUA